CUUGACCGAGCCCAGGCGCAGCGGGUGUUCGCGGUCCUGGCCGUAGGUGGCGAGCAGGGCCUGCGCCUC
rfam:Streptomyces sp. AcH 505 scaffold00001, whole genome shotgun sequence.